UCCAGGGUAGCCUAGUGGACAUGGCAUCUGCCCAGUAAGCGAAACACUGUGGGAUUGAUUCCCAUCCCUGGAC
rnacentral:tRNA from 1 species